GGGGAUUUAGCUCAGCGGCUUAAGCGCCUGCCUUGCAAGCAGGAAGUCCUGAGUUCAAUCCCCG
rnacentral:tRNA from 1 species